UACGGAGGGGGCUAGCGUUGUUCGGAAUUACUGGGCGUAAAGCGCGCGUAGGCGGCUUUUCAAGUCAGAGGUGAAAUCCCGGGGCUUAACCCCGGAACUGCCUUUGAAACUGAAUGGCUAGAAUCUUGGAGAGGUGAGUGGAAUUCCGAGUGUAGAGGUGAAAUUCGUAGAUAUUCGGAAGAACACCAGUGGCGAAGGCGACUCACUGGACAAGUAUUGACGCUGAGGUGCGAAAGCGUGGGGAGCAAACAGG
rnacentral:misc_RNA from 1 species